CUCAAUGAAUGAAAUAGAAUCAGCGAGGUGCCUUUUCCAGUCUUGAGAAACUGGCUGCUAUAAUUUACUACAACCACCAGAUGUCACUGUUGUCCGUGCUCCAAAGUAGUGGCUCUUCAGCGUCGUAAGGAAGAAGCCCAAAAAGUCUUCACAAGGCUUCGUCUGCACGUCGCCACUGGAAACGUGAAACCAAAAAACGGACAUAAAGCAUGGGUUUCAGUACUGAAGGCGGAGUGAGUGGAAACCGGGGCUGCCUCCAGAAAGCCUAACAGGAACAAAAGGGAUGAACAUUAAAGAAGUGGACGGGUACUGGCUGAGGAAGAGGUGCUUUUACACGGGGGAAAAUUGCAUCCAUCAUGGAAUUACUCGAGUCUGGUGGAAUGUUAACAGUGACAAGAAUGAACAAGCAAACUUUUUGGAGGUAGUAAAACAGUUUGCAGUUGAUGAAAGGUGACUCUAGAUGAGGAAUGCAUGAAUUUAACAGUACUGUGACUUCUUUACCCCAACGUUCAUUGACACAGAAGCACAUUCCUUCCCCCAUUGUUUUUGCUGGUGAUCUCUGUGUAUCUGUUCAGUCAGAUCAGAAAACCAGAAGCAGAGGGCAGACCCAGGCCAUGUCUGCUGACACUUCUUCCUUUCUUUCACCUCUUCACCAGCUAGAGCAGAGACCGUUGUGAGGAUUUCCCAAAACUCUGAAGGUUUUUGAAUAAAUUCCAGAAUAAAAUUAGGUAAAA